rnacentral:rRNA from 1 species
ACAAGCGGUGGAGCAUGUGGUUUAAUUCGAUGCAACGCGAAGAACCUUACCUACUCUUGACAUCCAGAGAAUUCGCUAGAGAUAGCUUAGUGCCUUCGGGAACUCUGAGACAGGUGCUGCAUGGCUGUCGUCAGCUCGUGUUGUGAAAUGUUGGGUUAAGUCCCGCAACGAGCGCAACCCUUAUCCUUGUUUGCCAGCACGUAAUGGUGGGAACUCCAGGGAGACUGCCGGUGAUAAACCGGAGGAAGGUGGGGACGACGUCAAGUCAUCAUGGCCCUUACGAGUAGGGCUACACACGUGCUACAAUGGCGUAUACAGAGGGCUGCAAGCUAGCGAUAGUGAGCGAAUCCCACAAAGUACGUCGUAGUCCGGAUUGGAGUCUGCAACUCGACUCCAUGAAGUCGGAAUCGCUAGUAAUCGUGAAUCAGAAUGUCACGGUGAAUACGUUCCCGGGCCUUGUACACACCGCCCGUCACACCAUGGGAGUGGGCUGCACCAGAAGUAGAUAGCUUAACCUUCGGGAGGGCGUUUACCACGGUGUGGUUCAUGACUGGGGUGAAGUCGUAACAAGGUAGCCCUAGGGGAACCUGGGGCUGGAUCACCUCCUUAC